rnacentral:lncRNA from 1 species
AACAUCUACCAGAUGCGUGGCACGUGCCCUCUCCUCUUGUAGAACAAGUACAAAACAUAGUCACCUCCUGCCAUGGGCCCAUCCACCUGCAUGGCUCAGAGCUUCUGAUUUUCCUCAAAUUGCUCUGUGAGCUGUGCACAACGUGUGCAGGGCCUGGAAGGUAAUCCAUCUUUGCGACUUUAGCACUCACGUAAUCAUGGUUUCUCCUGGCCAGGUUCAGCAAAGCAUAUGUUUAGAUAGCCAAAUCCUUGCUGAAUCUGGAGCUGGGAGAAGCUGAAGGAAGCCAGUCAGAGAGAGAUACCCUCUGGUCCUGGGAAUAAGAGAUCCAUGGGGAGAGGUGCAAGGUAUUUGUGAAAAGGUGUCAUCCUACUCUUGGUGUGUUGCCUGCAGGCAAGCUUCAGGGGCUGGAUUUCUUCAAGAGGCAAAACUGAAGAUUAGUUUAAUAUUGCUGAGGUAACUUUGGCACCCAUGCUGCUGGCUGAACUGCUCCUAGCAAGGCCUACGUGUAGAGAUGGUGAUGCUACAGACCUCUAGGAAUGCCAUGUAGAAAAGGACUCCAAAAUGACAGAUGUGUGCGAAUUCCUGCGGCAACUGCUGGGCAGAGAUACGUGCUGGAAGCCAGUCCCUUCCUAUGACAUGCUUCAUCCUGCAUGCCAGAGAGCCAGUGACCACAUACACUGUGCUUACUGUGUCUUCUUUCAGUUGACUCCCUUGCUGAGAAGGAGGAUAACAGAUAUACC